GGUGAACAGGAAGUGGCCUGGAUGUUCACACUCUGGUGAACAGGAAGUGGCCUGAGUCUUCAUUAUCUGGAGAAUGGGAAGUGGCCUGUAUGUCCAUUAUCAGGAGAACAGGAAGCAGUCUGGGGUUCACUCUCAGGGGUUUUCUGGAACUGGACAUCAUCUCUUUGCAAUGAUUCCCCAUCUGUGUUCAAGCAACGUAGAAUUCAAAAAGUCCUUGGAGGCUAAUAGGAGGACAGGGCUGGGUAAAGGGAUCAACAGAGGCAAUAUCCAAACUCGGCCUGUAUGACGUCACUAAUAACAGAAUCAUCUUAAUACAAGGAAUCUUUCAACAUGAACAUAUCUGAAAAUAAACUAUAUGCUUAUUAUAAUGAA